AAGCAUUUCCGCUUGGUUAGUAAACUGAAAGUCUUAACGUCUGCAGCUGAUUCGUGGCGACUUUGCCUGAAUUCGCAGUGUACAUGGGCCUCUCACUGUUGUGGUCUCUCCCGUUGUGGAGCACAGGCUCUGGACGCGCAGGCUCAGCGGCCAUGGCUCACGGGCUUAGCCGCUCUGUGGCAUGUGGGAUCUUCCCGGACCGGGGCAUGAACCCAUGUCCCCUGCAUCGGCAGGCGGACUCUCAACAACUGUGACACCAGGGAAGCUCUCUCAGGAUCUCUUUUGUUAGUUUUCAGUAUUUUUUAGAAAGUAGUAUGAAGUGUUUUGUCAUUUAUGUAGUUUACAAUUAAAAUUCAAUCUCUUGA